AAUACAGCUGUGAGUACCCAUCACAGACUGCUAAAAGCACAGAAAUAGCCCUGCUGUCCUGAGAUGAGCACUCACUCUUCUUCAUUCCUCUGCUUUUUGAAGUGUUCCAAGGUCUCCAGUUGAGUUGUCAAGUAUAUCAUUCAAUAAGGAUUUGAGUGCCGCCCAGACUGCCUUGCCCCUUCCUUGCUGAUGUCAAAUGGCAGAGGUUGGAGGAACUGGUGUCUAUAUAGAAAAAUACAAUCUGCAAACCAAUAACUGGAGUAGCAGUAGCAGCUGAUGGAGAAGAAAAGGUGACCCACUGCGGACUCCUGGAAGAUCGUGAAGUCCACACAGAUACCAAAGAGAUUGCACCUCUGCUGGAUAAAGAGAGAAGUUCAAAGAGGAAGCUCCUUAAGAUGCCAUUGAUUUUUCAUUAACAUGAAUGACUUUUAGAAUUUCCCUGUUUAGACUGAGAGCUCUCUGAAGCGGAGGCUGUUUUGAUAAACUGUGUGUACAGCACCUUACACAAUGGACCUCUGAUCCUGCAUCUCUGCAUUAUGGCAAUGCAAAUAAAUAUACGAAUAGCUGUCCUUGAAAGGUAAGGAAA